rnacentral:rRNA from 1 species
AACGAACGCUGGCGGCAUGCCUAACACAUGCAAGUCGAACGAGACCUUCGGGUCUAGUGGCGCACGGGUGCGUAACACGUGGGAAUUUGCCUCGGGGUAUGGAAUAACUCAGGGAAACUUGAGCUAAUACCAUAUAAUGUCUUCGGACCAAAGAUUUAUCGCCCUGAGAUAAGCCCGCGUAGGAUUAGCUAGUUGGUGGGUAAAGGCUCACCAAGGCGACGAUCCUUAGCUGGUCUGAGAGGAUGAUCAGCCACACUGGGACUGAGACACGGCCCAGACUCCUACGGGAGGCAGCAGUGGGGAAUUUUGGACAAUGGGCGGCAAGACCUGAUCCAGCAAUGCCGCGUGCAGGAUGAAGGCCU